rnacentral:rRNA from 1 species
AUUGAACGCUGGCGGCAUGCCUUACACAUGCAAGUCGAACGGCAGCACGGGAGCAAUCCUGGUGGCGAGUGGCGAACGGGUGAGUAAUAUAUCGGAACGUGCCCAGUCGUGGGGAUAACGUAGCGAAAGCUACGCUAAUACCGCAUACGAUCUAUGGAUGCAAGCGGGGGAUCGCAAGACCUCGCGCGAUUGGAGCGGCCGAUAUCAGAUUAGGUAGUUGGUGAGGUAAAGGCUCACCAAGCCGACGAUCUGUAGCUGGUCUGAGAGGACGACCAGCCACACUGGGACUGAGACACGGCCCAGACUCCUACGGGAGGCAGCAGUGGGGAAUUUUGGACAAUGGGCGCAAGCCUGAUCCAGCAAUGCCGCGUGCAGGAUGAAGG